rnacentral:rRNA from 1 species
UGCAGUCAAACGGAAAUUUAUUUUCGUGGCAACCGGGUGAGUAAAAGCAGAAUUUUCCCUUUUAGUUCAGCACAAAAAUUUCUUUUAGAAAUUCAAAUUCUGAAUAGUUUAAAAAGUUUCAUUAUUUCCUAUGAAUCCAUUCGAAAAAUGUUUUAUGCUAAAAGAUAAAUCUGUUAAAGAUUAGGUUGUUGGUAAUUUAAAAGCUUACCAAGCCUAUGAUCUUUAGUUGAUUCUAGAGGAUGAUCAACCACACUGGAACUGAAAUAAGGUCCAGGCUGACGGUGUCGGCCAGCAGUGAGGAAUAUUGGACAAUGAACGAAAGUUUGAUCCAGCAAUACUAAUUGGAUGAUGACGGCUUAUUUAAGUUGUAAAAUCCUUUGAUUAAAAAAGAUAAUGACGUUAUUUAAUUGAACUAGUCCUGGCUAAUACUCGUGCCAGCAGCCGCGGUAAUACGGGAAGGGCUAGCGUUAUCCAGCAUGACUGGGCGUAAAGAGUCCGUAGACUGCAAGGUAAGUUUUUUGUUAAAUUUUAAAACUUAAUUUUAAAACUGCAAUUGAUACUGCUUUGCUGUGAGUUUAAUUCAGAAAAGUGGAAUUUUAUAUGAAGGGGUGAAAUCUUUAGAUAUAUAAAGGAACGUCAAAAGCGAAGGCUACUUUUUGGGAUAAACUAACGUUGAGGGACGAAAAUGUGGGUAGCAAACAGGAUUAGAGACCCUGGUAGUCCACAUCGUAAAUUCUGAAUGCUGUAAUUUAAUUGUAAUAUUUAGAUAUAUUAUUUAGAUUUUCAAGCUAACGCGAUAAGCAUUCCGCCUGAAGAGUAUGAUUGUAAGAUUGAAACUCAAAGGAAUUGACGGGGGUCUAACACUAGUGGUGGAGCAUGUGGUUUAAUGCGAUAAUCCGCGCAAAACCUUACCAAUUUUUGACAUGAUUAAGUUAUUUCUUUUUAAUUUAGUGUGAAAUUAAAAAAGAUAUUUUUUCACAGGUGUUGCACGACUGUCGUCAGCUUGUGUCGUGAGAUGUUUGGUUAAGUCCUGAAACAGGCGUACUCUUGCUUUUUAAUAACUUUCACAUCUAAAAAAGUUUAUAUUCUAAUUUUUUAGGUGCCUAAAAAGUACCGUCAAUAAUAAAUUGAAGGAAGGUAAGAAUGAAGUCAAGUCAAUGUGACCCUAAUAAAUUGGGCUACACACGUGCUACAAUGAAAAUUACAAAAAGUAACAAAAAAGAAAUUUUAAGUUAAUCCACAAAAAUUUUCCCAGUUCGAAUUGUAGGCUGCAACUCGCCUACAUGAGGUUGGAAUCACUAGUAAUCGCGAAUCAGCAUGUCGCGGUGAAUAUGUAACUUGACCUUGUACACACCGCCCGUCACUUGCAGAAAAUUAGUUUCGCUUGAAGGUUUUAGUAAAG